rnacentral:rRNA from 1 species
UAAGUGCUGAAAGCAUCUAAGCACGAAACUUGCCCCGAGAUGAGUUCUCCCUGACUCCUUGAGAGUCCUGAAGGAACGUUGAAGACGACGACGUUGAUAGGCCGGGUGUGUAAGCGCAGCGAUGCGUUGAGCUAACCGGUACUAAUGAACCGUGAGGCUUAACCUUACAACGCCGAAGCUGUU